rnacentral:lncRNA from 1 species
CGGAAAUAAUAAUAAACUUCUAAUUAAAACCAAUAUCUAUCAUAAAAAGGACUCCACAAUACAACUAAAAAUAACACCCCAAAAUCUGGUGACCGAGUCAUAAGCUCUACACGAGUAUACUGAAACAUCCCUAAUACAUCAGUAUCUAUAAUAGGAGUAUGCAAUAGAAACUUAGAUAGAGGGUGACUGUGACACCUGCGAACGCCGACAGGUAUACCUUGAAGUCUCUAAUCCAAGCUCAACUCACGGAUGCCUAGGCUGUAUGAAGUACCUGGAUCUGCACAAAAAGAUAUGCAGAAGCAUAGCAUGAGUAUACCAUAACGGUACCCAGUAAGUAUCAAGCCUAACCUCGGUAGAGUAGUGACGAGGUUAGGUCAAGACACCUACUGAAAUAAAUAAAGAAACUGAACAUGUAUGAUACAAUAUAAUAAUGGAAACAAGGAAUGAAACAAUGAAGAAAUACAACAAGAUAAGCUACACCGAAAGUUAAGGCAAUAAAGGCAUCAAUGGAGGAAACACGUAAUAAGAACACCAAGGAAACGAUGCAAACAAAACACAAGUGAUGUAAAUGAAAGAUAACAACAAGAAUCAUGUCCGAGGUACAAUCACAAUCACAAUCAGAAUCUUUCCUUAUAUCACCGCGGGAGCCUUGCAUUUAGUUUUAAAAAUUAUUUUUUCCGAAACAACUACCCGCAUUUUAGCCCACCUUAUCACACUUCGUGGCUUCAAGUAUUUCCCUUACUAGCAACAUGCGUAUCAAGCCCACAUUAUCUCAUCGCAUGCGUAUUAACCCCUAUCCUUAUACCACCGCAUGCAUAUUAAUAUCACAACAUAUCACAGAUCGCACCUCAAGUGCCCAAUACCACAACUUGCCAAAGAAGUCAACAAUAAUAAUGUUUUCACAAUAAAUAGCCUAUGGCUCAACCACAAUAUGUACAAGAGUCUCAACAAUAGCAAUCGAGUGAAUAACUCAACAAGAAUGGUAUUUCAACAAUUUAUAACUUUGCCUUAAUGUGAUCACGAUACUUCAACACCAAAACUCAAUAAUAAGAUAUUCCAAGAAAUAACAACUUCAAGUAAGGUAACUCAACAGUUAAGUAUUUAAUAAGGAAAUGAGAAAACAGUAACUUCAACUAAGCAUGUAAGGGCAAAUAAUAAGUAAGAUAUGAAACAAGUAUUAACAAUGUCAACUGAGGCAUGUAAGGAUAGAUUAAUGAUGACGAAUAUAACAUGUUAUGACAACUCAAUUAAAGGCAUGAAAAGAAUCUACAUAGCUUAAACCAGUCAAUUAUCACAUUUAGCCAGUGUACCCACUUAUCACCUUGCGUACACGGCUUUCACGUACCACAAUUAACACAAAACAAUACCAAUCUUUAGGGGUAAUUCCCCACACACAAAGUUAGGCAAGACACUUACUUCAAAACACGCUAACUCAAUCCACUAGUAUGCCUUUUUUCGCGAAUAUCCAACUUCUAAUGGCUUGAAUCUAGCCAAAAAAACUUUAUACCAUAAAUACAAACCAUAAGAAACUAUUCCGAAUAAUAAAGUUGUAAUCUUUAAAGAAAAUCAAAAUGUCAACUCAAAAAAUUAACCCCGGGCCCGCGUCUUGAAAACCGACUAAACUUAUAAAAUUCGAUCAACCAUUCAAUAACGAGUCCAACCAUACUAAAAUUACUCAAUUCUGAUCUCUAAUCGACCUUCAAAUCCUCUAAAUAUAGUCUAUGAAGUUUUCACAAUAUUCCCAAUAUUUUCAACUCAAAACACUAAUUAAAUGAUAAAAGCAAUGAUGGAUUCAUGUAUAAUAGCCAAAUCCGAGGUAGAAUCACUUACUCUGAUCAACUCCUUGAAAUUAUCUCUCAAAAUCGCCCAAAACCGAGCUCUCUAAGUCAAAAGAUGAAGAAUGAAAUAAAACACUCUAUUCACCGUUUUUCUGCCCAGCGAUCUAGCUUCUACGGAUCCUCAGUUGCAUCUGCAGCUCCGCACCUGCGGGAAUCCCACCGCAGGUGUGGCUUCCACUUAAGCCCAGGGAAAAAUCGCAUUUGUGGGCACCAAAGCGCAUCUGCGGAGACUAGCCGCUUCUGCGGAGAAAUGACUGCACCUGCAAUCGCAGCUUGCUGGCCCAACAUUCGCUUUUGCGGGUCACAUGCCGCUUCUGCGGUGCCGCACCUGCGGCCCAAAGUGCACAUGUACGAUUGCACCAGAACCUUAGCAGCUUCAACAAUCAACUAAGUCCAAAAAUAAUCCGAUUUCAAUUCGAUUCGCACCCGGCCCCCCGGGACCUCGUCCGAACAUACCAACAAGUUCCAAAACACAUAACGAACUUACUCGAGGACUAAAAUCACAUCAAACAACAUCGAUUCUAUGAAUCACAACCCAAUUCAAACAUAUUGAAACCAUGAACAUCCAAUUUCAAAAACUAACGCCGAUUCAUACCAAACCAACUUCGAUUGACCUCAAAUUUUGCACACAAGUCAUAAAUAACACAACGGACCUAUUCCAACUUCCGAAAUCGAAAUCUGACCCCGAUAUCAAUAAAGUUAACUCCCGAUCAAACUUCUCGACCUUCCAAACCUUCAACUUUAUAACUUUCGCCAAUUCAAACCAAAACGACCUACAAACCUCUAAAUCAAUAUCCGGACAUGCUCCUAAGUACGAAAUCACCAUUCGGAGCUAUAGGAACCGUCAAAACUCCAUUCCGGAGUCGUCUACACAAAAGUCAACUCCGGUCAACUCUUUCAACAUUGGGACUAAGUGUCCCAUUUCACUUCGAAACUCACCCGAAACCAAAACCAACCACCCCUGCAAGUCACAUAACCACAAUAUAACAUUGAGGAGACAAUAAAUAGGGGAGCGAGGCUAAAAUACUCAAAACAACCGGACGGAUCGUUACAUAAUUUUUUAAUGGUGUAAGACCUUUUAGUGAAAGUCGUACGAACUUUGCCAAAAAAUGAACGAUAUCACAUUAUAUUAAGAAUAUCUACAGGCUAAUGAGCCCAACACGUUUGCUACACUGGUUUUGAGUAUGAAGAAAAUUAUGCGUGGACUGUUGGGAGAACAAGAAAUAAAGGAAUAACUAUGACAAUAUCAAGAAUAGGUUAAAUCCUAGAAGUGAAAAUGUAUCACACAAAUUUAUUGGAAACCUUAGCUAUGGUCUAGAAUUAUAGAAGAAACUGAAUUACCAAAAAGAAAAUUUUAUAACAACUGAAAUAAAGUUAUCCAAAAGGUUUCCCACAAGUUAAUUGAGAACUUAAGGUGUUGAAAAAACUAAACUAUCUAUAAAAAAAUCAUAACCAAAAUAAAAGUUAUAAAUUUAAAAAUUUCAAAAUCUGUUGCAGUAAGUUUUUUAUUCUUUCUAUUGUGAAGUGCAUAAAUUAUAUUUAAGAAACUCUCUAGAAGGAGAUCAAAAUAGGGUAAAUUUCACAAAUGGUCAUAUAACUAUGAUUGUUUUCACCAAAGUCAUAUAACUAUGUUUUCUCACACAAAAAUCAUAUUGACCGAAAAAUAUAACUUUUCAAUAGUAUUUUCUUAUUCCAUAGUUUUUUAUUUUUUAUUUUCAGUUUAGUAAAUAAUAAUUCAAUUAAAAUAGGAAUGACUCAACCCGACCCGACCCGACCUCCGACCCAAUAACUAUACAUAUAUAAACCAAAGCACUUUAAAAAUAUUAUUAUUUAUAGCCACUUUUUAUAUUUUACAGCAAAGUACAAAUAUAUAUAAUUGAUACCUCAACUUUUCCUUCAACCCUCUCUUUCUUCUCGCUCAAUCCCUCUCUCUAUGCCCUCGGCAAGACCGCCGUCCAGAUCUGGCGUUAGAUCCAGAUUUGGCGUCAGAUUUGGCGUCAGAUCCAGAUCCAGGUGAUGAUUUGCUUGGCCAGCGUUAAAACAAGUUCCUCGAACAGAACGAGAUUACGAAACCUUAGCCUAUUGAUUGGGAAAUCGACUUAUUUUUUUAAAAUGCAAUAAGCCAAGAUAGAUGAGCAUGCAUCAAAUGCUAUUUGAGGUCAACGCCCAACUUCUUUUGUUGAACCUUUUUCUUUUCAGUUGAAAAUGAAAGAGGUUUAAUAUCCAGAUACAAUGUUAGAUCCAGACGGAUGGUGGUGAUUUGCUUGGCCGAAAAACGUCAUCUCCGGCGAACUUUCUUUUCUUCUUUGCUAUUGAGUCACACACAAUGAUACUAAUACAUUGUAUUCUGUACAAAUACACUCGUAUUUGAGUGUAUUAUUUAUUUUUCAAUGCAAAUGUAUUUUUUUAAAUAUAUUUUUUCCUGUAUUUAAAUAUAGUGAAUUGAAUACAGUGUAAAAGCAGUUACAAGUGAAUAUAGUGAAUUGAAUACAACCGAAUAUCACUGUUUUGUGACUUUGUUGUUUGAAUACAGUCGAAUUGAAUUCAGUAAAAUUGAAUACAAUGUAAAAUAGAUAAGAAUAAAUAUUGUCGAACUGAAUACAAUGUAUACAGCCGAAUUGA